ensembl:lncRNA novel transcript
GGAGAGAGAUGUGCAAGAUAUGCGGUGGUAACUCUGGACACUGUUGCUGAAGCCAGAUCGUUUCCCCAGGGCACUUCAGCUCAGAAAGCUGAACUCAUUGCUUUAAUUCGGGCCUUAGAACCCAGUGAAGCUAAGAAUGUCAACAUUUACACUGACUCUCAAUAUGCCUUUUCAACCCUUCAAGUGCGUGGAGCAUUAUAUAAAGAAAAGGGCCUAUUGAACUCUGGGGGAAAAGACAUAAAAUAUCAGCAAGAAAUCUUGCAAUUAUUAAAAGCCGUAUGGAGACCCCACAAGGUGGCAGUUAUGCAUUGCAGAGGACACCAGCGAGCUUCCACCUUGGUGGUUUUAGGGAAUUCCCGCGCUGACUUGGAGGCUCGAAAAGCAGCAUCUGCCCCCUUCCGGGCAUCAGUCACAGCCCCCAUGCUCCCUCAAGCACCUGAUCUUGUACCCACUUAUUCUAAAGAAGAAAAGGACUUUCUCCAGGCAGAGAACAAGUGAUGGAGGAAGGAUGAAUUCGGUUACCGGAUGGGAGAGAAGCUAUGCCACAGCUGCUAGGAGCUGCAGUUGUACUGGCUGUGCAUGAAACCAUCCAUCGAGGUCAGGAGUCACUUGGAAAGUUGUUAGGCUGGUAUUUCUACAUCUCGCAUUUGUCAGCUCUUGCCAAAACGGUGAGGCAGGGGUGUGUUACCUGCCGACAGCAUGAUGCGAGGCAAGGUCCAGCCGUUCCACCCGGCAUACAAGCUUAUGGAGCAGCCCCCUUUGAAGAUCUCCAGGUGGACUUCACAGAGAUGUCAAAGUGUAGAGAUGAUCGAGUGUGGAUCAAGAACUGGAACGGAGCCUCUUUGUGUCCACUGUGGAAAGGAUCCCAGACUGUCGUCCUGAGCACUCCCACCGCUGUGAAGGUAGAAGGAAUCCCAGCUUGGAUCCACCACAGCCAUGUAAAACCUGCAGUGCCUGAAACCUGGGAGGCAAGACCAAGCCCAGACAACCCUUGCAGAGCGACCCUGAAGAAGACGACACGCCCUGCUCCAGUCACACCCGGAAGCUGACUGGUCCACGCACAGCCAAAGCAUGAGGAAGCUCAUCGUGAGAUUCAUUUUUCUUAAAUUUUGGACUUAUACAGUAAGGGCUUCAACUGACCUUACUCAAACUGGGGACUGUUCCCAGUGUAUUCAACAGGUCACUGAAGUAGGACAGCAAAUUAAAGCAAUCUUUCUGUUCUAUAGUUAUUAUGAAUGUAUGGAAACAAUAAAAGAAACUUGUUUGUAUAAUGCCACUCAGUGCAAGGUAUGUACCCCGAGAAAUGACCGACCUGAUGCGUGUUAUAACCCAUCUGAGCCCGCUGCAACCACCGUUUUUGAAAUAAGAAGAAGAACUGGCCUUUUCCUAGGUGAUACAAGUAAAAUAAUAACUAGAACAGAAGAAAAGGAAAUCCCCAAGCAAACAACUUUAAGAUUUGAUGCUUGUGCAGCCAUUAAUAGUAAAAAGCUAGAAAUAGGAUGUGGUUCUCUUAACUGAGAAAGGAGCUAAAGAGUAGAAAAUAAAUAUGUUUGUCAUGAGUCAGGGGUUUGUAAAAAUUGUGCCUAUUGGACAUGUGUUAUUUAGGCUACUUAAAAAAAGAACAAAAAGGACCCGGUUUAUCUUCGGAAGGGGGAAGUCAACCCCUCCUGUGCUGCCGGUCACUGUAACCCACUAGAACUAAUAAUUACCAAUCCCCUAGAUCCCCAUUGGAAAAAGGGAGAACGUGUAACCCUGGGGAUCAAUAGGACAGGGUUAAACCCUCAAGUUGCCAUUUUAAUUAGAGGGGAGGUCCACAAGUGCUCUCCCAAACCAGUAUUUCAAACCUUUUAUGAGGAGCUGAAUCUGCCAGCACCAUAACUUCUGAAAAAGACAAAAAAUUUGUUUCUCCAAUUAGCAGAAAAUGUAAUUUUCUUACUUAAUGUUACUUCUUGUUAUGUACGCGGAGGAACCACUAUCGGAGACAGAUGGCCUUGGGAAGCCCGAGAGUUGGUGUCUACUGAUCCAGCUCCUGAUAUAAUUCCAGUUAGAAGGCAGAAUCUAGCAACUUCUAGGUCCUAAAAACCUCAAUUAUUAGACAAUACUGUAUAGCUAGAGAAGGGAAAGACUUUAUCAUCCCUUUAGGAAAGCUUAAUUGUGUAGGACAGAAGUUGUAUAACAGCACAACAAAGACAAUUACUUAGUAGGGACUAAACCACACUGAAAAGAAUCCAUUUAGUAAAUUUUCUAAAUUAAAAACUGCUUAGGCUCAUCCAGAAUCUCAUCAGGACUGGACUGUUCCCUCUGGACUAUACUAGAUAUGUAGGCACAGAGCCUACAUUCGGUUACCUAAUAAAUGGGCAGGCAGUUGUGUUAUUGGCACUAUUAAGCCAUCCUUUUUCUUAUUACCCAUAAAAAUGGGUGAGCUCCUAGGUUUUCCUGUCUACGCCUCCCGAGAAAAGAAAGGCAUAGUUAUAGGAAACUGGAAAGAUAAUGAGUGGCCCCCUGAAAGGAUCAUUCAGUAUUAUGGGCCUGCCACAUGGGCACAAGACGGCUCAUGGGGAUACCGAAACCCCAUCUACAUGCUCAAUUGGAUCAUACGGUUGCAGGCCAUCUUAGAAAUAAUUACUAAUGAAACUGGCAGAGCUUUGACUGUUUUAGCUUGGCAAGAAACCCAAAUGAGGAAUGCUAUCUAUCAGAAUAGACUGGCCUUAGACUACUUGCUAGUAGCUGAAGGAGGAGUUUGUGGAAAAUUUAACUUAACCAAUUGCUGCCUACAAAUAAAUGAUCAAGGACAGGUGGUUAAAAACACAGUCAGGGACAUGACAAAGGUGGCACAUGUGCCUGUACAGGUUUGGCACGAGUUUAAUCCUGAGUCUUAAUUUGAAAAAUGGUUUCCAGCUAUAGGAGGAUUGAAAACCCUCAUUGUAGGUGUAUUGCUAGUGAUAGGAACCUGCUUGCUGCUCCCCUGUGUAUUACCCUUGCUUUUUCAAAUGAUAAAAGGUUUUGUAGCUACUUUGGUUCAUCAGAAAAACUUCAGCACACGUGUGUUAUAUAAAUCACUAUCGCUCUAUCUCACAAAUAGACUCAAAAAGUAAAAAUGAGAGUGAGAACUCCCACUAAAAGGUGAAAAUGCUCAAAGGAGGGAAAUAUGGUGUGAGGCCACCACUUCUCCUGUUGUCCUUCCCAGUUUCUCCCCAACCUCCCCUUUUCCCUAGUUUGUAAGACAGCAAAAAAGGGAGAAAGCAAAAAGUUGGAAAAAACAGAAG